GCCGGGUGUGAUGGCUCACGACCGUAAUCCAGUGGCUCGGGAGGCUGAGGCAGGAGGAUCGAGAGUUCAAAGCCAGCCUCAGCAACAGCGAGGUGCUAAGCAACUCAGUGAGACCCUGUCUCUA
rnacentral:sRNA from 1 species